ACGGAGGAUGCAAGCGUUGUCCGGAUUCAUUGGGUUUAAAGGGUGCGUAGGCGGAGAUUUAAGUCAGUGGUGAAAGCUUACAGCUUAACUGUAAAAAUGCCAUUGAAACUGAAUUUCUUGAGUUCGAUUGAGGUAGAUGGAAUGUAUCAUGUAGCGGUGAAAUGCUUAGAUAUGAUACAGAACACCAAUUGCGAAGGCAGUCUACUAAGUCGAUACUGACGCUGAGGCACGAAAGCAUGGGGAGCAAACAGGAUUAGAUACCCUGGUAGUCCAUGCCCUAAACGUUGAUUACUCGUUGUUGGCGAUACACUGUCAGCGACUAAGCGAAAGCGUUAAGUAAUCCACCUGGGGAGUACGAUCGCAAGGUUG
rnacentral:rRNA from 1 species